rnacentral:rRNA from 1 species
UACGAACCGGGCGAACGUUAUUCGGAAUUACUGGGCUUAAAGGGUGCGUAGGCGGCGCUGUAAGUCGGGUGUGAAAUCCCACGGCUCAACCGUGGAAUUGCGCCCGAUACUGCAGUGCUCGAGGAAGAUAGAGGUGAGCGGAACGAAUGGUGGAGCGGUGAAAUGCGUUGAUAUCAUUCGGAACACCCGUGGCGAAAGCGGCUCACUGGGUCUUUUCUGACGCUGAGGCACGAAAGCUAGGGGAGCGAACGGG